rnacentral:miRNA from 1 species
CGUGGCGGCUGCGGUCUGGCGUAAUCUCAGCUGGCAACUGUGAGCAGUUAAUAGCUCCUCUCAUGGUGGCCGCUGGGAUUAUGCUAAACGCAGCGAUUUUACCGCGCCCCAGGAUCGAUCGGCCCCCACGGCCACC